CCAUUUUUCCGCUGGGGGGUCUUGGGACCCCGACCUUCGGGGGCUGAUUUUUGGGCGCGGCUGUGCCCGUGGCCUAUUUUUGGCACACGGAGGCCGCCCGCCAAGUCAGGGGCCAUUCCGAGUCCCGCGGACGAACUUCGCCCACGCCCCCCACGAAGGCUAUAGCCCACCCUUUUUUUGGCCAUUUUUCCGCUGGGGGGUCUUGGGACCCCGACCUUCGGGGGCUGAUUUUUGGGCGCGGCUGUGCCCGUGGCCUAUUUUUGGCACACGGAUGCCCCCCGCCAAGUCUGGUGCCAUUCCGAGUCCCGCGGACGAACUUCGCCCACGCCCCCCACCAAGGCUAUAGCCCACCCGUUUUUUGGCCAUUUUUCCGCAGGGGGGUCUUGGGACCCCGACCUUCGGGGGCUGAUUUUUGGGCGCGGCUGUGUCCGUGGCCUAUUUUUGGCACACAGAGGCCACCCCCCAAGUAUGGUGCCAAUCCGAGUCCCGCGGACGAACUUCGCCCACGCCCCCCACCAAGGCUAUAGCCCACCCGUUUUUUGGCCAUUUUUCCGCUUGGGGGUCUUGGGACCCCGACCUUCGGGGGCUGAUUUUUGGGAGCGUCUGUGCCCGUGGCCUAUUUUUGGCACACGGAUGCCCCCCGCCAAGUCUGGUGCCAUUCCGAGUCCCGCGGACGAACUUCGCCCACGCCGCCCACCAAGGCUAUAGCCCACCCGUUUUUUGGCCAUUUUUCCGCUGGGGGGUCUUGGGACCCCGACCUUCGGGGGCUGAUUUUUGGGCGCGGCUGUGCCCGUGGCCUAUUUUUGGCACACGGAGGCCGCCCGCCAAGUCUGAGGCCAUUCCGAGUCCCGCGGACGAACUUCGCCCACGCCCCCCACGAAGGCUAUAGCCCACCCUUUUUUUGCCCAUUUUUCCGCUGGGGGGUCUUGGGACCCCGACCUUCGGGGGCUGAUUUUUGGGCGCGGCUGUGCCCGUGGCCUAUUUUUGGCACACGGAGGCCGCCCGCCAAGUCUGGGGCCAUUCCGAGUCCCGCGGACGAAAUUCGCCCACGCCCACCACCAAGGCUAUAGCCCACCCGUUUUUUGGCCAUUUUUCCGCUUGGGGGUCUUGGGACCCCGACCUUCGGGGGCUGAUUUUUGGGCGCGGCUGUGCCCGUGGCCUAUUUUUGGCACACCGAGGCCGCCCGCCAAGUCAGGGGCCAUUCCGAGUCCCGCUGACGAAGUUCGCCCACGCCCCCACCAAGGCUAUAGCCCACCCGUUUUUUGGCCAUUUUUCCGCUGGGGGGUCUUGGGACCCCGACCUUCGGGGGCUGAUUUUUGGGCGCGGCUGUGCCCGUGGCCUAUUUUUGGCACACGGAGGCCGCCCGCCAAGUCAGGGGCCAUUCCGAGUCCCGCGGACGAACUUCGCCCACGCCCCCCACGAAGGCUAUAGCCCACCCUUUUUUUGGCCAUUUUUCCGCUGGGGGGUCUUGGGACCCCGACCUUCGGGGGCUGAUUUUUGGGCGCGGCUGUGCCCGUGGCCUAUUUUUGGCACACGGAGGCCGCCCGCCAAGUCUGAGGCCAUUCCGAGUCCCGCGGACGAACUUCGCCCACGCCCCCCACCAAGGCUAUAGCCCACCCUUUUUUUGGCCAUUUUUCCGCUGGGGGGUCUUGGGACCCCGACCUUCGGGGGCUGAUUUUUGGGCGCGGCUGUGCCCGUGGCCUAUUUUUAGCACACGGAGGCCGCCCGCCAAGUCUGAGGCCAUUCCGACUCCCGCGGACGAACUACGCCCACGCCCCCCACCAAGGCUAUAGCCCACCCGUUUUUUGGCCAUUUUUCCGCUGGGGGGUCUUGGGACCCCGACCUUCGGGGGCUGAUUUUUUUGCGCGGCUUUGCCCGUGGCCUAUUUUUGGCACACGGAGGCCGCCCGCCAAGUAUGGUGCCAUUCCGAGUCCCGCGGACGAACUUCGCCCACGCCCCCCACCAAGGCUAUAGCCCACCCGUUUUUUGGCCAUUUUUCCGCUGGGGGGUCUGGGGACCCCGACCUUCGGGGGCUGAUUUUUGGGCGCGGCUGUGCCCGUGGCCUAUUUUUCGCACACAGAGACCGCUCGCCAAGUAUGGUGCCAUUCCGAGUCCCGCGGACGAACUUCGCCCACGCCGCCCACCAAGGCUAUAGCCCACCCGUUUUUUGGCCAUUUUUCCGCUGGGGGGUCUGGGGACCCCGACN
rnacentral:lncRNA from 1 species